rnacentral:lncRNA from 1 species
GUUCAAUGUGUACCUAUCAUGACGGAAGACUCCUUAGAUGUGCUUUGCCAAAACCGAAACAAGUUGUACCUCCUGACCCAUUAAUUUUAUAACUAUCCUGACUUAUGCUCUUGGCCUCUUGGUGUGGUUUUAAACUUAGUGCCUAUUUGGGAGGAAAUCCUGGAUUCUGUUUGUGAUAUUGUUUCUUGUCCUUCCUGGAGAAAAGAAUCAAACACUUGUAAAUAUUAUUGGUAUCAGCAUACAGGCAUUUUCUCCUGCUUUUCAGAAUAUUGUUAAUUUUGACUUUCAAAAUUAAAUGGAUUUUUUCCUCAACAAGAGGGAAUUUCUGCCAUCUAACGAAUGCACAGAAUAAAAGAAAUACAGAGUAAUUUAAAAUGCUAUUCUAUAAUUUGUGCAAGUAGAGUUUUUAAGUACCCCUAUUCCUUGUACCAUGCUUUGCUAACGUGUUUUUCUAAGUAGAGCAAAAUUCAGUGAGUCCUUUCAUUUUUCCCAGAAUAAUUUAAUCAGGUAUCAGGAUAACACAGUGGUUUCUCCUUAGUAGUGACUCUGAAGAAGGCAUGAGCUCUUGGAAACUGCUUUCCACUGUCCUCUACGCAGUCUAGAUCAAGUCUCUUGAUAGAUGGGUGUAUGUUGUGUCUCCACCGAAGAGACCUAAGUUACAGGCCUAUCUCUGAGGUCUGCCUGAAAGUGAGGGAACCACAAAUGUCCCCAGUCAACUGUUUUCCCAGAGUAGCCAGAAAUGUGCCCAUCAGUGAGAACCCGGUAGGUGAUCUCAGGAUGUACAGCUGUGCCCCGAGCAGUAGGUGUCACUGUAGUCAGUGGCUUCUGCUACUCAGUACUUAAGGGGUUAAUCGGGUCUGGUGUAGCAAGGAGAAAGGGGCCCAUCUGUGUCCUGCAGGGUGCUGGUCUUUGUCUCCAGGGCACAGAUGACCCCAGUGGAAGACCCAAGUGGGCUCCAUUUUUCCCUAGGACGGGCAGAGGGAUCCUUUGCCAUAUGUAUUUUAGACGCUAAGGCUGGCUCUUGGGUGUUAUGGAGUCUGGUGGGUUGGAGUGGAGACACUGGUGAGAUGAUCCUUCUAACCUUUGGAAGGGAGACCUAGAACCAGGGGAAGGGGAGGAUUCUAUGAAGAGAAGCAGGAGAAUCUGGAUUAGCCUGAGGUGUUUCCUGGUUACUGCUGCUGAGCAGUUACAUUUGGGCAGUGAGAGGGGGCAGAACUUCCAUCAGCCUCCCUCUCAGAAAUUUCCCUUGCACCAUAAAGGAGGCAAAGCAAAGCAAAG